UUUGCCAGCUCCGGUCCUCGGUUGGAGCGCUCUGGUCGCCGAGGUGCGACGGCCGCCCUUAAGGCGCUAGCGCGUUCCUAUUCCCGCGGCGGGCGAUGCUGUGGACCCGCGCUGUCCGAGCUGAAGAACUGGCUUGUAGCUGGUGGGUCUGUCAAUGAACAGUUGCGUUUCUGUGAAUGAGGCACGCAGGAAGUUUUCCCGGCUGUUCUUUUUGCGUCUUUUCUAAGGUGUCCAUUGAAAUCUGGAAGGAAACUCCUCUGGGUGACUUUGUUAAUGGCAGUCAUUAGCUCUGCUGUGCUGGGAAGAGGGCAGAAUCACAGUGAAGCCUAGAGGCUCUGUGCACCACAAACUCCCAGGUGAGGUAAACUGUUACUUAGAGCUCCCUCUCAGUUGGCUUAAUUCCCUUUAUGGAGCUUUACAGAAUGAAGAUUUAUGGCAAUCUGAUUGAGUUG
rnacentral:lncRNA from 1 species